AACCAAAAUGUUAAACUUAGAUCAAGGUUACUUCCCUGUUCUGGUAAUUAAACUUUUGGAUGUUAAAACAAAGGAUGAGAAAGAUGAUUAGGUAGAAGUUCUUUCUCUAUUAAUUUUCCUUCCAGCCUACCCAA